rnacentral:rRNA from 1 species
UACGUAGGGCGCAAGCGUUGUCCGGAAUUAUUGGGCGUAAAGAGCUCGUAGGCGGCUCGUUGCGUCGGCUGUGAAAACCCGCAGCUCAACUGUGGGCUUGCAGCUGAUACGGGCGGGCUUGGAUUCGGUAGGGGAGACUGGAAUUCCUGGUGUAGCGGUGAAAUGCGCAGAUAUCAGGAGGAACACCGGUGGCGAAGGCGGGUCUCUGGGCCGAUAUCGACGCUGAGGAGCGAAAGCGUGGGGAGCGAACAGG